CUACGGGUCGCACCAGUGAGGAAUAUUGCACAAUGGGGGGAACCCUGAUGCAGCAACGCCGCGUGGAGGAUGACGCAUUUCAGUGUGUAAACUCCUUUUAUAUGUCAAGAAAAUGACGGUAGCAUAUGAAUAAGCGCCGGCUAACUCCGUGCCAGCAGCCGCGGUAAUACGGAGGGCGCAAGCGUUACUCGGAAUCACUGGGCGUAAAGGACGCGUAGGCGGGUUGAAAAGUCAGGUGUGAAAGCCUACAGCUUAACUGUAGAACUGCACUUGAAACUCACAAUCUAGAGUAUGGGAGGGGCAGAUGGAAUUAGUGGUGUAGGGGUAAAAUCCGUAGAUAUCACUAGGAAUACCUAAAGCGAAGGCGAUCUGCUGGAACAUUAUUGACGCUGAGACGCGAAAGCGUGGGGAGCAAACAGGAUUAGAUACCCCUGUAGUC
rnacentral:rRNA from 1 species